GGUGGUGUAAGAUGCAAUGUUUCAUGUAAAAUCUGUCUAACUGCAUCUUCUGAUUUUGUGAUCUGUUCAUUGUAUUCUGUUUGUGUGUGAGUCAUAAAUUAAUCCAUCCGAAUAUAAAUCUAGAUCUAAAUUUUUGUUACUGCACCUAUUUGCUGGAGUUGGUGCAUUAGUUUUCUUCUAGUGAAUGUUCUUCUAGCUGACUCCUGUCUUUACUUCAUCUGAUUUUGAUUAAUCUUCUUUCUCAAUUAAUUUUUUGAUCCAUUACUGUUAAGACAAUAAUAUGAUUAUGAUUGUGGGAUUGCGUACUGUAAAUUAGUGCUAGGAUUGUGUAGG
rnacentral:misc_RNA from 1 species